rnacentral:sRNA from 1 species
GUUGUAGUGGAUUGGCAGUUGGCGAGAUUCGUUCUGCGACUAAAUUCCAUGUGAUUAAAGCAAAUACAAACUACCACAUGAUACUUGGCAGAGCCUGGAUGCACCGAUACGGGGCUAUCCCAUCCAACUAUCACCAAUGUGUGAAGGCAAAGUUGGAAAAGCGCACAGUUACUAUAAACGCAUCUGAAAAGCCAUUCGGAGUAGAAAAGGCACACUAUUCAGAUGCAGUUUUCUUUACUGAGUUGUCAACAGAUGAAGCUCCAAGGACGGGUAAAAUUGCAGGGGUAAAAUUGCCGAAGUGGGAAGACAUUCGAGAUGUAGAGGCUACUCCAGAAAACAGUGGAUAGAAAAGGAGUAACAAAUCCACGAGUCCGUCGCUCAAGAUUGUCAAGGUGCAAGAGGGCGGCAAGACAGCCCGCGUAUUCUC